rnacentral:rRNA from 1 species
GACGAACGCUGGCGGCGUGCCUAAUACAUGCAAGUAGAACGCUGAAGGAGGAGCUUGCUUCUCCGGAUGAGUUGCGAACGGGUGAGUAACGCGUAGGUAACCUGCCUGGUAGUGGGGGAUAACUAUUGGAAACGAUAGCUAAUACCGCAUAAUAACAGUUGUUGCAUGACAACUGUUUGAAAGGUGCAAUUGCACCACUACCAGAUGGACCUGCGUUGUAUUAGCUAGUUGGUGGGGUAACGGCUCACCAAGGCGACGAUACAUAGCCGACCUGAGAGGGUGAUCGGCCACACUGGGACUGAGACACGGCCCARACUCCUACGGGAGGCAGCAGUAGGGAAUCUUCGGCAAUGGACGGAAGUCUGACCGAGCAACGCCGCGUGAGUGAAGAAGGUUUUCGGAUCGUAAAGCUCUGUUGUAAGAGAAGAACGAGUGUGAGAGUGGAAAGUUCACACUGUGACGGUAUCUUACCAGAAAGGGACGGCUAACUACGUGC